rnacentral:snoRNA from 1 species
AAACCAUGAUGGGGGCAAAGCCUAAGCAUUUUUUUGAAACGCUCCCACGCAUCGUAAAGAGAUUCACCAUCUUUUUGAGUGAAUUGUAUGAUUUGACUUCUCAAUUG